GGGCCCGCACAAGCGGUGGAGUAUGUGGUUUAAUUCGACGCAACGCGAAGAACCUUACCAGGUCUUGACAUCCCUUGCGAAGCUAUAGAGAUAUAGUGGAGGUUAUCAAGGUGACAGGUGGUGCAUGGUUGUCGUCAGCUCGUGUCGUGAGAUGUUGGGUUAAGUCCCGCAACGAGCGCAACCCUUGUCUUUAGUUACUAACAUUAAGUUGAGGACUCUAGAGAGACUGCCGGUGACAAACCGGAGGAAGGUGGGGAUGACGUCAAAUCAUCAUGCCCCUUAUGACCUGGGCUACACACGUACUACAAUGGCGUAUACAACGAGAAGCAAGACAGUGAUGUGGAGCAAAUCUUAACAAAGUACGUCUCAGUUCGGAUUGAAGUCUGCAACUCGACUUCAUGAAGCUGGAAUCGCUAGUAAUCGCAGAUCAGCAUGCUG
rnacentral:rRNA from 1 species